rnacentral:lncRNA from 1 species
GGAAAUUCCCCCCCCCCCUCAAAACGUGGCGAUAUUCCUAGGAAUAUCGCCCCCGGGGGCGCAUAUCCUAGGAAUAUCGCCUCCCAGGGGGUGGGGCGAAUACCAUAGGUAUAUCGCCCCUCUUUAGGACAUUCGCCCCCCAUAUAUGCGAUGUGGUUUAUUCAAAUAAUUUCGUGAUACUUUCAUCUUAUUAUUGCCUUACACGUUUGAGAAUUUAACUCUUCAAAACUAAAGCUUUUUUGUCUUUUUUUGAAACGUAUUAUUGGAGUAUUGGCAAGUUUUACCAUUCAGAGAUUUACAAACUAAUAUUGAAACUGUAAAAAACAGUUUCAUGUAUACGCGCAUUCACUAAUGAGUAAUGACAACUUAUAAGCCAUACAUUUUCCGAUAACGACAGAACGCUUGUGUAGCCUUUAGUCGCUCUUAGUGAUUAAUAGUUUUUUUUGAGGGGGGGCAAAAAAUAAUUUUGGGGGGGCAUUUGCCCCCCCUUGCCCCCCCCCCCUGGCGCCGCCACUGCUAGAACCUCUAGCUAGAAAUGGGCACUUAUAUGGUUCGGACGAUUAAAAUUGUUUCGCGUUAGACAGAGUAAAAUAAAUAUCUAAUUAACCGCCAACCUAGAUCUAGAACCUUUACUCGGCCUGCUUUGGCAGGUUUGGUCAAUUUUGGACUAGGAUUUGGGAAGUAAUAUACGCCUACAUGCGAAGCAAGGUGCCUCACGUUACUUUCAUUUCGCAUGUGAUGUCUACUUACCAAAUGCUACCCUAAGAUUGGCCAAACCUCCCAAAGCCUGCCAGCUGCCGAAUGAAGGGUCUAGGUCCAGAUUGCGUAACCGUCAUAUCUGCUAUAUGGUUAUUUAAAGGUUAAAGGAUUAGUGUCAGGGUCAUGCAUUGCGGGCUUUUGUUAUUGUUUACAUUUUACUCAAAUACAACAAAUAGCGAUAAGAAUACCUUGUUUGGUACAUUUCUGAUAAGAAUCAGACAAAAAGAGCAAGGAUUAUAAAAGGAUGCUUUAAAUAUAUGACGGAUUGUAAACACUUUCCGGAUCAUCUAGUCUAUUCGUCCCGAAAAAUGGCCGCCAAGAGGAGUUUGAGCCCGCGAAUUCCUGGCGUGACACUAAUCCUUUAAGUCGAGUAAAGUAAGAUUGUCUGGGCCAAGGCAGGCCCAGCUCUAACAAUAGCAGUUGCCCAGAUUCGCUGGAUUUAGUCUGGCCAAAAGUCAAAGUUUGUUUGAACUACCAAAAGGUAGGCCAGGGCAAGGCUCAGGCCAGGGAACUAAGCCUGCCCUGUAAAUGCACUUUAAAAUUGAUAGUGGAUUUGCAAUAAGUCGACAGACACGUACAUAUAGAUAGGUUAGCACAGGGUAAAAAUGCAAUUUUAACAGUAUGACUGUCAGAACCGUCAGAACUAAUCAAUGCAACCAUACUCAACAAACUAUCCCAACCUGCAUGUGUGUUGCUUGAAUACAGUGUUUCUCUAACUCAGCGGAUGAUUAAGCAUUCAACUUGUGGCGUGCAGCGGGAUCGACCCAAAAUUGAACUGGACUUUUGUAAGACUUAAAAUAAUUUGGACAGAAAUUAUGCAUGUUUCAAUUCAUGCACGCUCUCGACCUCAUAAUUGAUAUGGCUGGGUAUAUAUGGGGAUUUUGCAUUUAGAUCUUUGCAAUUUUGGACAACUCCCUUUCACGCCUGAUAUAUUAUUUUUCGGUAUAACCCCCCAAACCAGAAAAGGUUUGUAUUACAGAGAGUAUUCACAUGUUAAUACACAUGCAGUAGCUUACUUUUUUAUAAUACUAUUAUUGAAGGCUAAAAAUUAAUUGAAAAUAAUAUGAAAUGACAGUACUUUAUGGAAAAACCCCAGAAUAUUUUCAACCUUUCACAACCGUAGAGUUCUCUUUGACAAGUAAUAAAAUCAUCCGUCACGACCCUGACUAACUUAAUUGACUACUAAACUUGGCUAACUAUUACAAUAGUGAAAUAAAAGAAUACACAAGAAAGUUCUUCAUGCCAAUUCCAAUCCCACCUUGACACAACCAAUAAAAAACUUUUAAAUUUUGUAAAUUGCCCAUUUGUCAUAUAUAUUUGAAUGAAUAGUAAUAGAAAGGUG